rnacentral:rRNA from 1 species
UACGUAGGGUGCAAGCGUUGUCCGGAAUUAUUGGGCGUAAAGAGCUCGUAGGCGGUUUGUGCGUCUGCCGUGAAAGUCCGGGGCCUCAACUCCCGGAUCUGCGGUGGGUACGGGCAGACUAGAGUGAUGUAGGGGGAGACUGGAAUUCCUGGUGUAGCGGUGGAAAUGCGCAGAUAUCAGGAGGAACACCGGUGGCGAAGG